UGGGGAAUAUUGGACAAUGGGCGCAAGCCUGAUCCAGCCAUGCCGCGUGCAGGAUGAAGGCCUUCGGGUUGUAAACUGCUUUUGUACGGAACGAAAAGACUCUGGUUAAUACCUGGGGUCCAUGGCGGUACCGUAAGAAUAAGCACCGGCUAACUACGUGCCAGCAGCCGCGGUAAUACGUAGGGUGCAAGCGUUAAUCGGAAUUACUGGGCGUAAAGCGUGCGCAGGCGGUUAUGCAAGACAGAUGUGAAAUCCCCGGGCUCAACCUGGGAACUGCAUUUGUGACUGCAUAGCUGGAGUGCGGCAGAGGGGGAUGGAAUUCCGCGUGUAGCAGUGAAAUGCGUAGAGAUGUGGAGGAACACCGAUGGCGAAGGCAGCCCCCUGGGCCAAUACUGACGCUCAUGCACGAAAGCGUGGGUAGCAAACA
rnacentral:rRNA from 1 species